UACGAAGGGAGCUAGCGUUGUUCGGAAUUACUGGGCGUAAAGCGCGCGCAGGCGGCUAUCCAAGUCAGUGGUGAAAGCCCGGAGCUCAACUCCGGAACUGCCAUUGAAACUGUUUAGCUUGAGGAUGAGAGAGGUGAGUGGAAUUCCCAGUGUAGAGGUGAAAUUCGUAGAUAUUGGGAAGAACACCGGUGGCGAAGGCGGCUCACUGGCUCAUUACUGACGCUCAGGCGCGAUAGCGUGGGGAUCAAACAGG
rnacentral:rRNA from 1 species